AUUGAACGCUGGCGGCAGGCCUAACACAUGCAAGUCGAACGGUAACAGGAAGCAGCUUGCUGCUUCGCUGACGAGUGGCGGACGGGUGAGUAAUGUCUGGGAAGCUGCCUGAUGGAGGGGGAUAACUACUGGAAACGGUAGCUAAUACCGCAUAAUGUCGCAAGACCAAAGAGGGGGACCUUCGGGCCUCUUGCCAUCGGAUGUGCCCAGAUGGGAUUAGCUUGUUGGUGGGGUAACGGCUCACCAAGGCGACGAUCCCUAGCUGGUCCGAGAGGAUGACCAGCCACACUGGAACUGAGACACGGUCCAGACUCCUACGGGAGGCAGCAGUGGGGAAUAUUGCACAAUGGGCGCAAGCCUGAUGCAGCCAUGCCGCGUGUAUGAAGAAGGCCUUCGGGUUGUAAAGUACUUUCAGCGGGGAGGAAGGGAGUAAAGUUAAUACCUUUGCUCAUUGACGUUACCCGCAGAAGAAGCACCGGCUAACUCCGU
rnacentral:rRNA from 1 species